rnacentral:rRNA from 2 species
AGUGAAGCGGCAACAGCUCAAAUUUGAAAUCUGGCUUCGGCCCGAGUUGUAAUUUGCAGAGGAAGCUUUAGGCGCGGCACCUUCUGAGUCCCCUGGAACGGGGCGCCAUAGAGGGUGAGAGCCCCGUAUAGUUGGAUGCCUAGCCUGUGUAAAGCUCCUUCGACGAGUCGAGUAGUUUGGGAAUGCUGCUCAAAAUGGGAGGUAAAUUUCUUCUAAAGCUAAAUACCGGCCAGAGACCGAUAGCGCACAAGUAGAGUGAUCGAAAGAUGAAAAGCACUUUGAAAAGAGGGUUAAAUAGCACGUGAAAUUGUUGAAAGGGAAGCGCUUGUGACCAGACUUGCGCCGGGCAGAUCAUCCGGUGUUCUCACCGGUGCACUCUGCCCGGCUCAGGCCAGCAUCGGUUCUCGCGGGGGGAUAAAGGCCCUGGGAACGUAGCUCCUCCGGGAGUGUUAUAGCCCGGGGCGUAAUGCCCUCGCGGGGACCGAGGUUCGCGCAUCUGCAAGGAUGCUGGCGUAAUGGUCAUCAGCGACCCGUCUUGAAACACGGACCAAGGAGUCAAGGUUUUGCGCGAGUGUUUGGGUGUAAAACCCGCACGCGUAAUGAAAGUGAACGUAGGUGAGAGCUUCGGCGCAUCAUCGACCGAUCCUGAUGUCUUCGGAUGGAUUUGAGUAGGAGCGUUAAGCCUUGGACCCGAAAGAUGGUGAACUAUGCUUGGAUAGGGUGAAGCCAGAGGAAACUCUGGUGGAGGCUCGCAGCGGUUCUGACGUGCAAAUCGAUCGUCAAAUCUGAGCAUGGGGGCGAAAGACUAAUCGAACCAUCUCGUAGCUGGUACCGC